ensembl:lncRNA
CAUGGCUGACACAGGAAAUCUAAGCUUACAUUUUCUAUGUAGCUGUUGUCUUUGCCCUGGGAUAUGGCAAGCCUCAGGGAAUAGCAAGAGAGUGCCCCAACAGGAAAUUUCCAAUCUGAGGUCUUUGGAUCCUUAAGCCAAUAGAACAGAAUAGAGAGGAGAGCUGCUAACCAAACACUUCGGUCUUCUUGUCUAAAGAUCUCAACUUAUGGAGUCCAUGACCCUGGAUUUGCAUGGGUGGAUGUUCUGGGCCAUUGCUACAUCAUGGAUGUUUUCCCGGCCUGUGGGUUGUGUGGGGACCUGAUUUGAUGCUGAACCCCGGAUUCCAAGUCCAAGACAAAGAGAGCUCUCCCAGCAAAACUCCUGAAGUACAGCAGAAGAAUAAAGGGAAUAAAAAGGAAGCCAAAAGACAGAAAAUACAGAAAGGAAGGGAAGAAAAAAAGCAGAGACAACAGGCUGAGUAUCUAAGAGUGGAAGGAGGGAAGGAAUGAAAAAGAGGGAGUAAUGGAAGUGAGAGUAGGGUAGAGAGUAUGAUGAAUUGAAAGGACUGACAUAUUUUUGACCUCUAGAUGGCAUUUCUCGAGACCCUGAAGCUCAUGAACAAAGUCCAGAAUCUCAUGGGCACUGGCUGAUUCCAAGAAAUGAGAUAUAUAUGCAGAAAGGUAUCUAAAAAACAGGUCAGAGGCAAUUGGGGGAGAUUCCUAACCUUGAUCAGCAAGUUACCCACAUAUCUGUGCCCCAGUUGAUGAAUCCGAAAUAGUGUUCCUCAUCACUGUGCAAACAUGGCCGCCUCGAGAUCACAAAGCCCAUAUUCGCAAGUAGCUGAAUUUAUUACUCAGAGAAGCAAGCUGGCUAACCGCAG